UGAUGGUGUUCGUUGUCCCUCGGAACAUCCUUUGCAUAGAGAGGAGACUUUGCAUAGCCAGCACAUGCUUCAGUGCUCUGGUAGUGUUUAUAGCCUUGUGAGUUUAACACUUCAUGACUGAGAGCUGUCCUUCAUGACAACAGAACCCACAACAACUAUGACUUUUAUCACCAUCUUCAUCUGGACACUUGCCCUCUGUCUCCAAGAGUCCAGAGGCCAGGUCACUGUGACCCAGACUCCUGCAGUGAAAGCUGUUUCAGUGGGUCACACAGUCAGUCUCAGCUGUAAGACCAGCAGUGCAGUAUACAGUGAUAAACAUGGACAGAGGUUGGCCUGGUAUCAACAGAAACUCGGAGAAUCUCCUAAACUCCUUACAUAUUUCAUUAGUACCCUUAACUCUGGGAUACCAUCUAGAUUCAGUGGCAGUGGAUCUGGGAGUGACUUCACUCUGACCAUCGGUGGAGUCCAGGCUGAAGAUGCAGGAGAUUACUACUGUCAGAGUUUCCACCUUCCCAACAGUGUCUGGGUGGUAACACAGUGAUACAGAGACGUACAAAAACCUCCCUCAGUCAGACUGCACAGUGACUGUACUGAUACAGCUGGGACCUACUGCAGGUGAUAAGGGGGAAGAGACAGUGACAUGGAAUACUGAUCAGUAGAAGAGGUCAACUUUGAAAACAGAAAGAAUCAUACGUUCUCCAACAUCAUCAUCAUCGUCAUUAUUAUCAUCAUCAAGGUUCCAACUUGUUAUUUUGGACAUUAACUGAAAGUGUAUAUAAAAGUUAUUUGUAGUUUUGGAAGACAAUACCAGUCCAUAGUAGAGUAAGAUGUACAGAAGUAAGAGGAAAAGUAUCAGCCCCCCAAACCAAUUCCCUACAUGCACUUCACAACCAGUUAUUGAUGUGAUCAUCUAGCAUGUAUUAACUCUUUUCAUGAGCUGUUAGAUCUGUGAAUGAGACAUGAUGCUGGGCUCAAACAUGACACAUUUAUGUAGAGACAUACACUACACACGAUAUAUAUAUGUGUAAUGGAAAGCAACCUUUGAGCUCAGAUAUGUUAUGAGGGCAGAUCUUUAGAGGUUUAUUUUUUUAUUAUUGCUACAUAAGGUUGAUGUUAUGUGGACAAUUCUCUCACUUCGGUGACUCUGCCCUCUACCAAUGUGUCCACAGACAUUAUUAAAAAGAAACAGCCUGAAAGUCUUUCCCGUGGAGAAGAUAACAUCUCAUAACGUUGUUCAAUUGCAUGAUUACAUUUUGUUUUAAUGAGAGAAUAUAAAAAUGGACUUAAUUUUCA